ensembl:lncRNA
CCUUUGGAUGGCACAGCCAUUCAUCUCAGAGACAGUUUUUUUUCCCGUGCUCUGUGAAUUUCUGUGUGACACUCAUUGAAAUGUUAACUGCCGGAAACUACCGUGGCCUUCCUCGGGUUGGUUUCUCCACCAAAGGUCAGGGCAGGCUGCCAGGACAGCUCGCCAACCGCACUGCUUUACGGAGCGGCGUUCUCAUUGACACCGCAACAGCGGUGGGCAACGGAGUGCUAGGAAAAAGUAUGCUGCUAAAGUGGGAUCACGUUUCUGGAGCAGACUACAUAGAGAAAAGGGUUAGGAAGGUUUUGUAAGGUAGAAGAGACAAAACCUGAUUUCUUCUCACCAGACUUCCAGUUGCAGGAUGUGGAUCAAAUGACUCCCGCUUAUCGCACCUCCACCCCUAAACUGAAGGAAUAAGUGCCUGAAAACUCAGCUUGUGUUACCAAAUAAAUAGCAAGAAUGUGGGAUUCCCUAUCUGUGCUGCAGGGACUGCCCUCCUUCAGCUUUCUUCUCCUUAAUAAAAAAGCUAGGGCAUCCGGUUCCUGCGCCCCACUUGGUAGCACAGCACCAGUUAACUCACAGAGCCAGUUCUUGACACGUCAGAAAAGAGCAGAUUUAAAAUUCUCUUUGCAGUCCCUGGCCUGGCACACGUGUGUUCUCACAGACUCGUCCACGACACCGCCGAACUGCAGACUUUCCCACAGGAUGCAUGCCUCAUGCUGUACAACAGGAUAAUCACGCCCAGUGGCAGAAAUAAAUUAGCAUAGCAAUCUCAAUCUGCUGCCCGACUGUUUUUUCUCGUAUGUAAACUUCAAAGUCACUCAGAGGUCAAAGCUUGGAUGAAGACAGACCGAGGAGAACAGCAGCGGUGAGAACACGCAGUGCGGAGAAGCCGGGGAUGUCGGUGGCAGCACAUCGCCUCCAUCGAGGUGCUGGGGAGAUGACCUACGUCUUCGACGUGGCAUGCCAUGAUCUGAGCGUCUGAUGUGGUUGUUGAGGCUUCUGUGCUCACUGGGAAAUUGUCUUGCAGAGGAGCGAAGGGCACGGCCAUGCUCUGGCGGACUUGACAUUCACUGGCUGGUCUUGGUUCAGGCAGUCUGGAAAUAGCUAAAUAGAUCACCGUGAAAAUACUGGAGAAAAACAGCUUUUUCGUGGUUUGUGUUGAAUGCAGAGGGCUUCGGGGUUGGGUGCAAGUUCGGAUAGCACUUACAAUAGCACUGAAAUUAUUUCCCACAGAUGUAUUAGCUUGCAUUUGUUGCUUCUUCCACUUCCACAGUAAAUUCCCACAGGCACUGUGGGAAGAGAGCAUCCUUCUGUAGUGCUGGGCCUCCCCACCAGGGCUAAGAAGGGUUUCAGGCUUAGGAAGUACUUGAAACGCUCCCGAUACAAGGAGCACAUCUAAUGUGUGCCUUGUUGUCCCUUGUUAACAUAACCAGAAGCCACAUUGCUCUCUGCUGCUUCUCACUCAACAACCUUUUUCUGCUGGUUCCGGGCCACUUAGCAUCAUUCUUUUCCUUAAUGAGCUUCACAUCAGUUCUCAUUUUAGCUGAGAGAAAUAAUUUUUGGGCCAGUUUCAAUGAGUUUUGCAAGAAUUAAAGUGAUACUCACUUUUUCAUUAGUGACUCUUUACCACUAACACAGCUCUGCUUACUCCUGAUUUCCGUGCCUCUACGCGUUAAUGCAAAAGCAGAGAAGAAAAAAAACAAAAACACAGCGAGAGAAAAGAAAGAAAAAGUGUUAAUGUGGGAAGAGAAAGCAAAAGUGUGAAGUGGCUCUGUGAAGAGCCACGUGGGUGCAAAGAGAAGCGACAGGGACGCAGGGAAAAGCAGCUGGAAAGCAGGAGUGUGGAGAAAAAUGAGGCUAGGAGGAGGGGUAAAGGGGAGCAGGAGUGGGAGCGGGGAG